CAGUCGUACCUGCGGACAAUCAGCUUUUUGAGUGUGAUUAUGUGGAUUGUGAAGAGUUAAACGCCUUCAUGCCUGCAUAUUCGUGCACUUUGGGUGUACUUGCCCGUAUGGUUGGUUAACAUCAAUUUUGGUGUCAUAAAAUGACUGGAGGAAUG
rnacentral:rRNA from 1 species